GUAAAAACCCAUAAAGGUGAGUAUAGCAUAUCGCCACGUGGGAUUUAACUGUUUUGAAGCAAGAUCGACACAGAGCGUCCGCCUCAACGCGCGGGUUGCCACUAGUUCCAUAUAUAACUAGCAUGCAUCUUACUACGAUGACAUGCACGAGAUUUUGACAACUAAUAUUCGUGUUCAGGGAAACUCGGUACGUAGCUGCUAUGGGCUUUUACUUGAAUGAUUGAAACAAGAUGGUAGAAUAAUGUAUGUUGAACAAAAUGCAUCAGUUAUAUAAAUAUGAAAGGAGAAUGUUCACAUUUUUGUUGUU